AAAAAGUAGGAAAAGGAAGGUUUGCUAGAAGCCCUUUUCAUUUUUAAUUACUUUUGGAAACGUGCAUUGCUCUUCUGAAGCUGAAUCCUCAGGCAUUCGUGGCCCGUCUCUGCAGCCCGAUGUGUUUUUUCCUCCCAUUGUUGUCGCUGGGAGCUGGCAGCAGCUGUGGCAGGGGGAGCGUGCGGAGGAGCCGCCAGCCGCCCGCUAGUGUCUCAGCCUGGAUGUAUCCCAGAUUUGUGAAAUGCACAGCAGUAGAAUUUGAGUUUUCAAGUGAAAUAACUCUUCCUUGUCUGAACCGUCCUUCAAAAUGCGGGAUUAGAAGUUUCCUACCACAUCAUCUUCAGGACUCCCAGAAAAUUCUUCUGCAGCUUGUGGCUGCCCGGAAAAGGAUGUUGUAGUAGUCUGGCAAAAUGAACUCAAGAUGCACAAGAAGAACAUACUAGAGACUGAUCUGCAAGGUGUUCAGGUAUUCGUGAUUUCAUUAUGUAUACCAGUAAUUGUUGCAUGAUGUAAGGUACUCUGCAGUUUACAGGCUUGAGGGUAAAUAUUUGUGUUAACUCACAAAAGGUGAUGAUAAAACAACAGAAAAUGAAUGAAAAAGUCACAAGAAACAUUAAAGCUGCAACGAACAGAUGAAGCUGUGAUUGAACAGGUACUGUCUAAGAGUUGCAGCUUGCAGUUCAAUACAUAUUUAGUCUGCUGGAUAUUCUAUCUUAUCCGUUAGCUAAGUCAGAUUUUACCUUAUUACUACCCAGAGUACUCACAGCAAUCUAAAUUGCUGAGGAUAAAGCUGGUUCUCUCCUGAUUUCCACGGGAGAAAAGUGAAAAGGCAACAUCUGAAGAAGGCACUGUGAUCCCUGGAGAACUGAAUUAGAUCUUGGGAUCUGAGCAAGCCAUGGGUGAGGCUACCAUGAGGGUGAAACUCAUUUGAGUGCCGAGAGGUGACAGAAGGCCUUGUGUACUUCAAGGAUUUUGUUAAGAUUUAAAUAGUGUAAACAUCUUGAACACAGUUGAAGAAAGGUUUGGCAUUUGCAGUUCUUCCCCUGUAGAAACUGGACUUCCUAGCUGGAUAGCAAGGAUGGUUUAGAGCAAGGUUGUUGAUUUCUAGGUUUAGGAAAAAUAGAUCUUUCUUUUACUGGUGUAAAGGGAGAAGUAGUACAGGUGCCUGUUUAGUCUAUACUUCACUGAAACAAGGAGAAAGAUCAUGUGAUUGUUUUUCAAAGCUUCUUGUGAGCAGGUGAUGACAGGUCUGCUAUAGAUGUGAAAACUAAUGACUUAACAGCGUGUAACCGCAUACAUUUUUGUAUUACAAUGAUAGUGUAGUGAUAUUGACUGUUUUUAUAUUUUUAUUUAUUUUAACUAAUUAAUGUAGUGAAGCAAAUUGGAUUGCUGACAGGCAUAAAGGUAAGAGUAUUGUUCGCAGAAUGCAUCAAUACAGCGUGCAUCCUAAGAAAAUGUUUUACUAUUAUAAUCAUUACAGUCUUACAUUAUCUCAUUAUAGUAAUUAAAUGAUUAUCACAAACAUUGCAAACUGUUGUUCGUAAUCACAUAUUUUACACUGAAAAAAAAACCACCAGCAGAAGCAGAGGUACCUCCAAAGGGUGUAUAUUGACAGCUGUGUCAGUAUCGUGCAAAAAAUCACCCUUGUUAAAUGUUACGCCAUAUGUGACUGUCUGAAAAGUAAAUACGAGUACAUAACAAUGUCACUCUAAAUAUUUUCUUCAAUUCCUAAACUAUACACUGUACCAGCUUUCAGAUAUUUAUUCAAGUUCACAUUUUAUUGUGUGUGCAUUCCGGUGGUUUUGGCCCUGUGUUGGUAGACAGAAUAUUGAUGUACUCUUCUGAAUUUUGCUAUUCAACUGCCGGUUUGACUUUGUACAGUUUACUUCAUCUGAGUGAGCCUCGGAUGCUUUGCAUGCAUAACUGAAGCACCUGAUCUUGCUACACAUAGUACAGAUGUAAGGUGUGGGAUCAGUGAGUGAUAGUGUAGCAUUCUCAUUUUGUCUUUACUGGCUGUUUGGGUGGUGGUGGUUUUUUGUUGUUGUUUUUUUUUUUCGUAACAUUGGUCUUCCAAUGCAAGCAGUUGCUAGUAGCAUCAUCCUAAAAUAUAAUGACAGCAACAAAAGUUCCUGGUUUUCUUCCAAGUGUUUUUGAACCUUGAGCCAGACCACUGGCCUUCAGAAAUAUCCCCAGUCUGAUUUUGGAACCAGAAGAAAAGAGCAGGAAACUGCUGUCGGAAGCUGGUAAUGUAGAAUUAGAAAAUGUUUCUCUUCAACUUUCAAGAGUGAUAUUAUUUUCCUAUAAGAAAGAUUAAUUGUAUCUAAAUCAUUUUAACUUUUAAAGUGUUUAACUACUCAGUUACACGUUUCAUUGAAAAGAGUUCAUGCUGUAAGACAGGAGAAAUGAGCCUUAUCCAAAUUCUGCUGACAAUAGAUAGGAAGAAUAGUAUCUGAGAAUAUUCUAUAAUCUGAAAUUAAGAGCGAGUUUUGUAGCCAGAGGAGAAAAAUUGGUGGUCAAAUCAAAUAUCCUGUACGUUAGAUGUGAAUUACAGACCUUACUUAGUUCAAAAGCUCAUAAGCAUGGGGAAAAUAAACUUGACUUUGAAUGUCAGGUUGCGAUCAUUUUAGCACAUCUGAUUCCCUCAAAAUAAGAAAAAUCUAAAAGUCAGAUUUUCCUUUUAGAAAUCUCAAACUAUAUAUAAUUUGGAUAACAAUGAGUAACAAGCUGCUUUGGAAAGGAAACUUUUUUCCUUCUUUGAGGAAAAAAUUGCACAUAAUACUUAGCUGCAAAACUUUUUUACUUCUAAAAGUAUCCCAGUAUCUGUUUUUCUAAAUAAAUUGCAGUUAUAAUAAAACUACUCACGACUGUUGUUACAUUUGAGAAAUUUUUAUUCAUUUUAGUUUUCAGAGGAGUAGUUCUAUUUCUGAAGUUUUCUGUGAUUUUGGGACCUGAACAACUUGAAAUCAGUAUAUUAACACAGUAUUUCUAUAAGACGAUGGCAUUCUAAGUGGAACUUUCCAGAGUGGAAAACUUCACUCUUAAAGCCCUAGUAUGUCUCAUUCCAAAAAACUCUGCAUUGAGUGUAGAAAGUAUUAGUAAAAAAAAAAAGAAGUAUUAGUGCAGGACAUGAUGCAAGAUUAUUCCAGUUAAUUGUAUAAGCCAGUUCUUUCAUUCCUAUUUGCUUCAUCUUGUAACUAUGGCAAUGGUUUCAGAAAGUGCUGGAAUAUUGGCUAUUUUUUUAAAAUUGAUUCAGUGUUGAAUGGUGACAGUGAUGUGUGGUUGCUGCUGACGAUGAUGUUUGGAUUUCAAAAUGACAUCUUUGCACCUAUUAUGCAGCCCAAGCUUGAGCAAAGCAAAUGUAGCAGUAGUAGUUAAAUAUCAGCUGUAAAAUCCAAAUAUGGUGAGGGUGCUGGGGAAGAAGAAAAAAAUAAAAAUUAACUUAACUGACUGCUUUCACAUUGCAAGUUCCAGAACUUGUGGUCUAAAAGUUUGGGUUCUUUUGCUUAUGUUCAGAAAGAUAAAUGAUUUUGUUUCCCCUUCUUCUGUGAGGCAGAAGUUGGACCUCAGUAUCAUAUAUUAAACAAUAAAGUGUUACGUGCGGAAGGAAGAGAAUUUAAGAUGUGAAUUAAGUUUGGGUUAUAAUAUAACUGACAACAAAACACCAGAGAAGAGACAUGAGCUGGGAUGAGAUGAAAUGAGACGAGACAUGAAAGAACGGGUAAAUUGAUGACUUAUCAGCCUACAGAUGGGAUGUGAAGAUAUGUGAGUGGAGAAUGAGAUCAUCACCGGGAAGUACAGUAGGGGAAAAGAAGGGGUUUCACAGGAAAGGUCCCAGUAGUCUCUUAUGGAUAGUGGGAGGAUUGAUUUAAUCCACAGGAAAAUGAAUAUGAAAAAUGAUAUAAAGGUGGGCUGGCUUCCAAACCUCAGAGUGGCUUGAUUUUUUUCGCAAUGUACUUCAAAAAAAAAUGAAAUAAAAACACUGAGUAUGACCCUGAACCUCGAGCAGUAUGUGGGAUCUGUGCACCUUGAUGGUAUUCCCACCUAGCUAAAACUACAUAAACAUGCUUUCAAUUUUGGUAAUGAAAGGCAAUUUUCAGCAUUUUGAGGAAACUACUGCGUUGCUUAGAAUAAAGAGAGGAGGCAAAAUUAUCGCCUUCAAUCUAAACAAUGCAGUAGAUUUCUUAAGAUGUUAAAAUUUGCCUUCCAUUCUGAAGACUGAAAGCAUGCUUCCAUGUUUCCAAGUAACUGUGUCCUUUGUGUUAUGCUGAAGCCAAAUAAUUUCUUAUGGAUGAUAAGUGGUGGAAUUGAUUGCCAAGUCCUGUUGAAUGAAAUUUCAGUUGGCACAAUUAUAAUCCAUUUCAAGAUUCAGCAUCUUUAAAUUUCCACCUACAAGAUGAAAAUAAAUACUUGGCUGCUUGCAAAGUAUUAAGUGAUACGUACGGAUAUGUCAAGUUUCUGCAUUCCUUGAAUCGUGUCCACCCCACCUCUUUUCUAAUUUUAUUCUCAUACCUUGUUAGGAAUCUUUAGGAAGAUCUGUUCAGAGAAGUGCACAGAAAUCUGUUAUUCAGCUGAAUUUGCAGAGUCGGCUGGCAGCCUUAUGAGGAAAACUUUUCUGGAAUUUCAUCUUGCAUCUAGUUCUGACAAGAGGAGACUGGAAUUCGAAAGAAACAAAAGAGUGAUCCUCACAGAUUCAAUCAUUUCUGGUCGACGUCUUCACUAAAAAUAUUAUGAGGCGUCUAGAUUGCUGGUCAGCAAAGAGUUCUGAUUUGUUUGAAUGCCACCAACUUUUUGUUUUAAUUUCUGUUUGGAGUAUUACAGUGAACUAUACUUAAAAUUCAUAACAAUGCAUUAUUCUAAAACUGCAUGUGGAGUUAGUUUGGGGUGAAACUGAAAAUAUAAUGGUAGUUUUUUUCUGAAAAUAAGAGAAUUAAAAAAAUGCUGAAAGAUUUUUUGCUCAGAUUUGGCCAACAGACUGAGACAGGAAUGAUCAACUUUAAUCUUUAGUAUUUUACAUUUUGUUGACCUGUUCCUGACUAUUUCUUCACAGCAGGGAGCAAAGAGCUACUCACAUUACAGUAUCUCCUGAGGAAGGGAUGGAAGAUCUGAGCCCACGGGCUGAGUCCCGGGACUCAUCCAGCAGAGAGGUGGGCUGUCCCCCCUUCCAACUGUCACCUGUCCUCAGCUCUAGCCAAAACAGAAUGCCUAAGGAAGUGAGUAAGAACAAGGAAAUUGUGUAUCAUAUUUCUGCUGAAUUAUCCCGCGGUGUUCAGCCAUCCUAGAGAUGUACUCAGCCAGGCAUAGUUUCUUUGUAUUUAGUAACCACGGUGGAUUUCUAUUCUAUAAACUUGUAUGCUCUUCCUCUGAGUCCUGUAAACUCUGGACAUCUACAUUAUUCUGUAGGAGUCCCUCAGCUUAACACACAUGUUAUGAAGAACCACUACCUGUUUGUUUUGGAACUUCCUCCUCCUAGUUAUAGAUGAAAGAAUGCAUUAUAGAAUCUGACAACGGAGCUGGUAAAGGAUUAUUGAGAUUAUAUAUUGAAAUGUGAGUCAUUCUAGGAAGAUGUUAGCUUAGUGGGGUAGGUCAACAUAAUUUAGUAGUCCAGGAUAGGGUAGCCUUGUAAAUGAGAUAACUACUAACCUAAAAGGUCUGCACUCCAAGGGAAUUUAUGUUGUAGGUGCCAUAUCAGUUCUAAGGAUGGGCAUGUUUGAUAACAGCGGAAGUCUCAUGAUAGGUGCUAGUUUAAUGAAGCAUUUAAGCAUAUUUAACUCUACUACCAUGUUUCAGACUAAGUAUGCACUAGGGUAGUUUACUGGGUCUGCAUUUUAUUCUUGAGGUAUUUUGUAUUUAUAAAAUGUAAUUGUGCUGGAACAUGUAUGUGAAAAUCACAUCUACCUACUUGCUUGAUAAACACCAUAUACUUCAGAUUUUACUGUCAUUUGAUAUGUGUUAGAUUUCCUUCAUUCCUUCCUCCUAAACAACUGGAAUCUCACUGAGAUCACUAAGUUCAGUAAUUUUUAGCUCUCCAACAGAUGAGAUCUGACCAGGAGUGAGAAGUGGGAAUUGAAGAGGAAAGGUGCAUCAUGAAUCCUGACAUUAAAAAAUAUAGCAAGGAAAGGAGUCAUCGGUCUGUUACAUAUUGAGACACAAGAUCUCCCUUGAGUGUGUUAAUGAAUGCUCAAAUAGUACUUAAAGAGACAAAGAUCCAAAAGACCGUUAAGUUGUCAAUAUUUCUACCUUCUAAGAGAUUGUUCGUAUGCUUUCUUUCCUGGUAGAGCAGAUUGGUGGAUAAAUCAGGAUGUUGCCAAAAGUCACAAGCCAUGUUUAAGAUUAGUCUGUUCUUAAGCUUUCUGGGGUGAAACUUGUAUAAUAUAAUAAAAGUUCCUUGUAGUCUCUGUCCAUCAACAAGCACUUGAGUGGUGGGAUGAGAAAACAGAGCAGGUUCAUCUGUCCUUUGGAGUGGGCAUAGUGCAGAGCUGAAAAUGAGAAAGUUGUGACUGCCUGAGCUGUUUUUUUUUCUGAAACAGCCGCCCCUUUGUAGCAUCUUCUGUAGCAUCUAAAAAUAAAAAGUGCAUCUCCUUGCUGUGCUUGUAAAAGACGUUAAAAGCCUCAAAUGGAAAGCAUUGUAAAGAGCAAAGUAUUAAAAUUACUAUUUACACAUGCAGUUCUGCAGACUGCUAAGAUUUCUUAUGCAAAACCAAACGACCAGCCAGACAUACUUAAAAAGUAUGACAGUGAGAGACUGUUGAGUUUGGUUGCCUGUGGGAGUUCCUCUUUACUUGAUUUCAUUCUGAGGUUUUUUAAUGCAAACAGACUUUGCAAGUUUUAGUCCACUGAAACUUAAAUGUCGAAUCUUCUUUUUGGCAAAUUAUUAAAGUAAAUAAAAUAUGUGACAUUAUACUUUAUAACAGUAGCACUCUUAAAUGAGACAUAGUAGAGUUCUGGGUUGACACUCAAACUCUGUGUAGUUCAGUAUUUGAUCACAUAUAUCCUGAAUUCCUUUUAUGCAAAAAUAAAGGUUGGGAGAACUUGGGACUUUUUUUAAUAUAUUCUCACAUGACACAGUGGGGCACUGAAAGAUAAGGACCAGAGGGUCAAAAAUGUUUACAUUCUGCUUAGACAGUAGAACAAAAGGCUGAACUUUCAGAAAUACUCUGCUCUAUUGGCUCUGUCUGAACCUAAAAACUGAAGCUAGAAUUGGUUGGUGCUGAGCUCUCUUCAUGAUCUGACAUCAGCAGUGGGUUUCUACGACUGGAAAAUCUACUUGCAGCUAAAUUUCCUUAGGUAGCACAAAAACUGUGUUUCAGUACAGGAAGUGAAUAUGGAUGCUCAGUAUUCAUCCUGUAUUUUAAACAAUACAUGUUUCUGGGUUUUUUUUUUGGUAGUAUUUUUUAAGGAGGCAGGCAGUAAAGGGAAAAGAAACACCUCAGAAGUAAUAAAAUGCCAUCAUAAAGAUGGAAAGGAAAAAAGACAUCAGAGACAAGGUGUAAGAAAAUGCCAUAAAUAGUACAUUGCUGGCACUGAAAGAUGGAAACCAUAAAAAACAAAAACAAAACAAAAACAAACAAAAAAAUGUCAAGAUGUAAAAAGAUACCACAAACGGUGUGAUUAUGGUAUUGGCACGGGCCAGAAAUGGCCAGAUAUGUGUAAUAAGGAAGAUCACUAAUAGCUAUAUUUUUUCAAAUAAGGUAGGAAUUCAGUUUAUUUCUAAGUUGAAUUGGCAGAAUGCUUGUUAUUGUCAAAAUAAAUGCAACCUAAGCAAAAGAUCUCAAAUACAAAGUUGUAAAACCUGUGACUUUAUAGAUCUUCUGGUGAGCAUUUAUGUCUCGUGUACUCAAGGUCUAUACAGAUACAACAGAGGUAUCUUAAUCCAGAAUACUUACGUAAUUCUGACUGUUCGAAUCCUUUCUUGAAGCCGUACGCUGCUUUUCAGGCAGGUUAAAAUGAGGUGUUUUCUUAUGCUUGAGACUGAUAUUCAACUUUUCUUAUAAGGCCUUAUUAAAGGCUUUGUAAAAUUUGAAAAUUGGUAGUGUUAAAAUUAAAACAGCAUCUGGAGAGAGGUGCAUAACAUGCUAUAUAGUUUUUCAGCCUGGUUAUGUGAAGACAGGGUUCACAGCAGUACUUAAAGUCACUCUGGACCUUUCUUUAGCUAAAAAGGGGGAAAGGUGUUCGGUUUUUGGAGAACAGCCUAUGUUUGUAUGUACUCAAAAUAGUGAUUGAUUUGCUAGGUUUAUUGACAGACAUUGCAUGCAUUUCAAGUCACUGAACAAUAAUAUGCAGUAAUUCUGUUUUCUUUGUGGAGAUAAUUAAGCCACACAGCAGCUGCCUAGCAAAUAUCAGCACUCUCCUACUCUUUCCCAGGAGAACAGAGUCAAGGCAGAAGUGAUCUGACCAAGAGGCCACAGUUACUGGAUGGCAUGACUGGGGUGAGAAUCAAAUCUUACCAGCCCUGAUCACAUUUGUUACCACUGGGAAGGGUGCAUUUACAGUGCUUACACUUUCAUUCAGUUUGCUGUGCAUAUGCAAAGGAGAAAGUCGUGUGUCUGGAGAAAAGCAAUAUGGCUGUGCUAAGCACUGUACAAACACAUAAUAAAAGGUAAUCCUCAUGUCAGCACUGCUCAGUCUAACUGUAUAAAAGAGACAGAAAUCCCCUGUAUAUUUGGUUUAAACCGUAGCACAAGGUAAGCUAUAUCCAAAUUAAGAGAGAUUUACUUACGUGUCUGAUGAUUUUUCUUGAAUCAAGACCAUACAUUAGCUAAAGAGGACACCUUUCAGUCACAGGUGUACUCAAGUACCAUUUCUGAAAAUGUGGUGUACAGUCAUUAUUCCACAAACUGACAGAAGUGCUUAGGUUAGAAGUUGAAGCUUACUAAAACCGCGUAUGGUUUGUACAGUAUCAUCCUCCUCUAUAAAUAAAUAGUGUAUAACCUUUGUGCUCUGGAGACCUAGUAAAGACCCUGGCAGGACAUCACACAGCCUCUUAAUAUAACUUCCCAGCUAUUUGUGGAACUCUGCCUUGGUGUCACUGAGAAACAAAGUUGGAGGUGACAGUUCAGAUUUUGCAUCCUCCUUCCGGAGAGCCAUUUCAGUCGUGCAGCCAAUUGUGUCUCUUACUGUGCAUUUAUAGCUUAAGGAAUCACUGGCAAACGAAAAUAGUCCUGGGCACAGCAGAGAUGGACAGAGGUUGAAGGCAAAGGUACAGCUCCAUUUUUACGUUAAGUUACUGAAAUUGAAUGUUUAUUUACUUGGUUUCUGUUUCAGUGAAAAUGGUAGAGGGAAUAACUGUUAGUGUGAUGUAGUUCAGAGAAGAUACGGUUUAGAAUGUUAAACCAUUUAAGUGAACUCCCAAAUAUCAAAGGACCUAUUAUAUUAAAAUAGCAUAUUAAAACAAAAUACAAAUAUUCUCUUCCUUAGUCUCUGUCACUUUGAUGAUUGAAAAUAUUUUUUGCUUAUUUUUCAAUUGCUGAUCCUUUUCUGUGUAGAUAAAUGAGCUUCCAAGUCUAAUGGAUUUUAACUUCUAAACUUCUUUCUCCUCAGAUAAUUAAAAUAAAAACGUGUAAAAUGCAUGUAGCAGAACUGUUUUGAGGUGCUCCGUCUAUCUUACGGUAUUCACGAGCUAGCAUGUUACUAUCAGAAGAAAACAUGCAUCCAACUACAGAAAUGCUUUCUUAUGUCUUUUUGCCUGUCAGGGCUCAGGUAAGCUGUUCAGCCUGAGACUAUGAAGCCACCAAACCUGGCGCAUGCCAGUUGAUCAGCUUCUGUUUAAAGGAGCAGUUUUGAAAAUUCCUCAGUUCGUGCCUACUAAACACAUUCCACAGGAGGAGUGGAUACUGAGAUCCUCCCAGGUCUCUAGAAAGGCCAGAUUUCUGCCUGGCGCGUGUGAACUUGUUCUCUGAGCCACCUGCUGUAGCUCAUUUCUGUAUUCAUCCUCCUUGGGCCGCUUAUCACGGGUUGAGGACAGCAGAUCUCCCACCAGCCGUGCUUUAGACAGAGCGUUGGUGUCUGUGGCCUUCAAGAAGAACAGAGGCCAAGAGGCUGGCAUACGGACCGGCAGGUAGGCAAGCACAGCUCAUCUUUCUGGGCAGUGGAACUGGAAAAUGGAUUUGGGCAACAGAUGCACUUGUUGCAAGGACAGAUUUUUCUCUUGACUAGGAUUUGGUGUCUUUUUGGUGUUUGGUCAGGGUAAGCCUCUCUGAGAUGUGAAGGACCCAUUCAUACGUGUAACUUUUUUCAUAUGUCUAAACUUUUCAGGUUCCUAGUGUGGUUAUUCCUGUGUGCUGUUAGUGGUGAACAGUGCAGAGUUCGUUGAUUUUAUCCACGCAUUGUACUUUUUCAGGACAGCAGUGCAGUUUAGGAGAAUUUAAGGAGUACAGGUGAGAAUGCAAGUUUGAUUUGUAUCGUGCUAUUCCAGCAACACAUGCUGGAAUGAGUUAGAAUGCUUAUGAUAAAGCAGCCGCUGAACUCAGUGUAAUGUUCUGAAAAAUGUAAUAAUAUUUCAGGCUAAAGCAGCAUGUGCCACUAGCUAGUAAAAAGCAGAGGAUGAUCUUCUUGUAAACUGAAUUUUCCCUAGUUUUAGAGACAGUUUCUGGUUUCUUGCAGUUAUAUCUGAGUUUAGUGAUACAUAUUAGCUGAUGCAUCGUUUAGUUUACAUAUUUAGUCUAGAUCCUUGGAGCUAGAUGAAGAUAUGUUAAUGCCUAGUGUGUCUGCUCAGAGGCCUAUUUUUACACUGAUUAUACAAAGAAAAUCAAAACAAAAUAUUUUCUUUUAUACUCCAUGAUUGUUCCAUUGUUUUACUGUUGAAUUAAUGAAUGUUCAGUGCAAAAUUUACAACAGAAACGUUAGAUGCCACUGGAAGGGAAACUCCAGUGUGUUUUAUGGAUAAUUCUUCUUUUUUUUCUUGCUCCUUUGUGAUUACAGAGUGCUAUAUUUUCAAGAGGGUGAGAGAAAACACUAAGGGCUGCUCUUGGAACCAGAACGCAGACUCAUUUUAGUCACUGGUCUUUGUACAGAUUGACUGCUCUUGACUUUGCUCCCUUUCUGUGUUAUUUGGUGUUAAAAAUGGUUUGCAGUGUUUCAGAGUCCCACAGUGUGUGGCCUGAGUUACAUGAGUAUAUUCUGUGAGAAUUAAUAGUGCCAGUGGAACUCAGAGUUGAUAAAUGCUACUAUUACCGUACAAUUACAUACUAAAUGUUACCUGCAUUACUCUCUCAGGCCAACACACUGCACUCCCAGGGAAGAAACGCAUAACAUGACAUGAAGAAAAUGAGAACAUAUUUAAAUGGGAUGUCUCCAGGAUAGUCUAGGGAGACAUUAAACUGGAUUUCAGCUUAAGUCUUGUGUAGGUAGAUAUGCCUGUGAAGAAUUAACAAAAUGGGAGACCUAAAGGGAUAUGCUUAGUUUGCCAUUUUUCCCCCAGCUGGUAGAAUCUGGUAUAUCGUUUCUAAUAUAACAUUGUUUGAAUAUUGCUCUCUGUUUUAGUUUGCUUUUAGUUUCUUUGAGGAAAUAAUUCUAAGGCUUGCUUUCUGUUCCUGUUGCUGUGUCUUUCAGCAGUGUCUAACUGGUUGACUUACGAGAGGAAAAAGUGCUGUGAAAUACAGUGCAUAGAUAAUCAAAAGCAGUAAGGCUUUUUUUGCAUUUGUUCCCUGCUAACUACUUCUUGUGAUUAUUUAUAACAAUGUGAAAACUGUAUCUAUCUGCACAAAUCCUAAGAAGACACACCUGAUUUAGUUGUGCAUAUGAAGAAGGGGAAAUACACAGAAUAUUUCCCUUUUUAGUUCGUGAUUGAAAUCCAUUGUGCAUUGUUGUUCUACUGUUAGUAAUGCAUAGACAGAAGAGCGGGCUGUCACCAACAACGUUUCCUUGGUUUGUAUUUCAGAGGGUAAACAUGUAGAACGUAUAUUUAUGGAUACGUAUGUGCACAGAUGAGUGUACACUGGUUGUAAUGUGUAGUGAUAUAGUAAAGCCCCUGAUAGAGUGAAGCAAAGGGAAAUCCCUAGCAGUAUUACAAUGUGUAGGUUGUGUUUACAGUCGGAGUAAAACUCUUUUAAUCUGUGAAAUGAGCACUUGUUUGUAGGAACACAAAAUACAGUGUGAACACUGUCACCAUAAUUUCUAGGGGAAGUGAUGAAUUGUACUUAAGAGGCUGUAGGACACACGGCAUGUGAAGGAGAUAACCAGAACACAGCUGGCCUUGAGAGUCUGAUUAAAAGGCAUAAAACUUCUUUCUUUAUAGAAGCAAAGCAGUUUGGGUUGAUAGGCUUGAUGGUGGAAGCUAAGUAUUGAUUAUCUUUUUUUAAUUUAUUAUUUAUAAUUUGGGAAGUUGUUGUUUAUUUUACUCUACGUCAGCUUUCAAAAAUACUAUUCAUAAAAGAUAAUAGAGCAAUGUCUGGAAUAUGGAUUUACAGAAUGUUUUAUCCAUAGUAGGAAAAAAAUAUGUACAAAAAAAAGAAAAUGGAUUCCAUUUUGGUCUGUUCAACUUGAUGUUGUGUGUUUAAGAAAACAGUCUAUUCUUGGGAGCUCAAUUUGUACUGAUAAUCAUAAAAAUGAUUUUGAGGAGGCAAAGAAUGUGUCAGAAGCAUUUUCUGGAAAACGUAAUUAGCAAGACUAAAUACCACUUCUCCCUUAAAAAUCAAAUCACAGCAAAGCACCCUGCAGAGAGAACUGUUUGUAGACAACUGCCGGAGUCCAGGCAGGGAAUAUACAGAUGUCUGUCUGAAUGGGGACAGAUGUAGUUAAGUUCACACAUAUCUUUAUUGUGUGAACAACAUUUUUUUUUAAAUUCACGUGUGUGUUUUCAGUGCAGUGCUUUGAAGAAUAACAAAUGUUUUGCCUAUUCAGUACCUGCAGUAGAAGGUACUUGAGUAAAAAAUGUGUAAUAAAUUGUGUCUUAGAACUCAGGGUCCUGAUAUACUUCCUUUGACUUGAAAGACACAGUGAGGCUAAUUGUGAAUUGUUUGGAUCUGUUGUAAGCUGCAUCAAAUUUCUUUUUUAGGUGUUUUGGCAAAUAACAACGGGAGCUGCUACUUAGAGUAUUUUAUUAAUGCUAUUUAUGUCCUCAGGAGUGCAGAACCAUGAGAAAAAGAAGUAUGAGUGAAGUUAUAUUUUGCUGGUUUAGCGUUAUUUAAAUAUUUUCCUUUAAGAUAGUAAGUCCAACCUGAUUGUUUUUUAAUGGGCCAUACCUUAAGAAAGAUUGAGAGAAUAUGUGAAUAACACAGCAACCAGAGUUCACUGACGAUAUGUUGAAAAGCUGUGUUUCCUUAACAAAAGUGUAAGCGUAUCAUUAUUUGAAAUUUGAAAGUUGUAAAGUUUGAAAAAUACUAAAAACCAGAUCUGCUUCCAUCAUGGGUGUGCUUUGCUUCUUAAUUAAAAGAUAUUUUACCAAAGACAUUUGCAGGCUUUUUCACUGUUGGUUUUCAUUCCACUUCUGCCAGCACUUUUUUUUUUUUUUUUAACAUCUCUCACACAGGAGGAAUGAGAAAAUGCAUUUCUAUCUAACAUUCUGAAGAGGUAUAAAGAUCUGAAGAUAGAAAACACCAUUAUUAUGAUGUUUUAGGUGUAGUUCCAGUUUCCUGAAACUAAAAGUACCUUCACAACAACUUUGUAAUAGAGGCAGGUUUAUUUUUGCUUGGAUGUUUGGAGUGAUUACAUACAUAGCAACCAUUUUUGUCUCUACAAUUGGAUUUUGCAGCUCAGUGAUGUAUUAUUAAAUGCAUUGAGCAGUUAUGAUACAACCUCUGAACAGCUCUGAAAGGGAGCUUGGGAUUACUCCUAGUUAACAAGACGUAGUGUAGAAGGUAGGUGUUUUUUUCCCAACAGUUGAUUUCUUGCAUGGGAUGCAGCAGGAUUUCUUUACUUCAGAUACUUGUGCCUGAAUCUUCUAGCAGUGAGAAAACAGUUUAUGAAAACCUGAAUGUGUAAAUUGCAUAUUCCUUGCAGAGAUCAUCAGAAUAUUUUAUUCUUUAUAUAAAAGUCUAAUGUUGUUCUGGAGAGAAGAGGAUUCAUGGUUACCAACUCAUAUGGAUUCUUCAUUGAUUUUAUUAAAUAGUGGAUUGGACAAUUAAUGUGUCAAGAUUGUACAGCAUAAGUAUUUUGAGGCUUUCGACAGCUGUGUUGCGUGCUCAACUGACUCAGACAUAAGAAUCGAAAGAUUUUUGCUUUUCUUACAGUCCUCUUGUCAGUGUGAAAGUGCAUGAGCUAUGCUGUUCUUGAGUACUAAUGUGGGUAUUCUUCCAUAAAGGAGAGUUCAUGUUACAGUUAUAGUGAGAAUUUGGAAUUCAGGAAUUGACAUUUUUUCAGUUUUUUAAGCAAUGAUUUUUUAUUUUUAUUUUUUUAGCAGCAUGUCACUAAAAACAUAUCUUACAAGAGAAAAUUAAGUGAGAUUCAGACUUAUGCCUGAAUAUAACCUGAGCUCUAACUGUUAAGCUUAAGAAGCUCUUGUAGAUUAGACCUUAUCUUAAAAUUGCCUUCACUUAGUUCCAUCUUGUAUGGAGUCAAUUAUGAUGAGUUGGGAUGUUAUCUUUAAUAGCUGAGUGGAAUUUUCAAAUAUAUCACUACUUAAGUUUUACAGUGCUUAAGUUUCUGGAGGUGUGGAGAAUAAAAGUAAUUCUGAACAAAAUUAUUAUUAUUUUUUGUUUUAGGUUCACUGAUAAGAUGCAAACCAGAAUCUGCCUGUUGGUUAUCUUUCCAGACAUGUUUCAGAGCUAAUAAGGGAGACUGACGAGUACCAUGACUUCAAACAGAAGCAUUUUGAGAAAUGACCUAGGGGGAGCCAAGUUACAAGAUGAACUCUAACCAAGUUAGAAGAGGAAAUAAGUGAAGAUUGGUCAUGUAUGCAAAGAAAAUGACAAGGUAUCUAAGGCAAUCACAAUUCAGAUUAAUUUCUUGCUGGUGUAGAGGUCUUCAUGGUACAUUAAUUCUGGCAAUAAACUUUAAAAAUAGUCCUUGGAAAAGAUGUUUUGAAAAGAACUUUUUUCUACUGUUUCAUUGCCAGAGUAAGUAUAUGUCUUUAUAAGUGUCUUGAAGAUACAUCUUUGAAGUCAUCAUUGUGUUGAAUUGUAGCUGUAUUUCUAGAAGUAAAUGAUGAUCACAUUCGUGAGCUGUGUUUUUGGCAGAAGUGAGUAAAAAAACACUGCUUCUCCCAACAUCAAAAUAAAAUCUUGCUAGACACUGUCAAUUUCCGAGGCUUUAAAGUAAUCAUUUCAUGAAUUCAUUUAAAUCACUGCACUUGAACGCUCAGUGCACAAGUUAAACCAUUUUCUCUUUUCUUUGUCAUGUAUAACCAUUACAAAUAAAUGUGCUAGUACUUGUUUUGCUCUGUAUUUAAAGGAUGUGUUCUCUUAAGUUUGUUGUUCUGCAGAUUUGUAACUUGAGGAAUGUAAAAUCAGUACUACUGACAACUCAUAUCCCUCAAAUACUCUCAAUAACGUGCAUUUGUAAUAUUUACACAGUGGCUGCUAACAGGCUGACACAAGGCUAUAUACCACUUAAGAUCUGAGGUUAAAUGGUUCUUCAGUGAUGCAUAAAAUUUGUAUUGAUCAUCUGCCCGGCACUGAAUUGAACCUAUUAAUGGAUAAGCCUUACAGUAUCACUAUGAGAAAGGGAAUUAUGAUCUCAAUUUAAAAAGUGGUAAAACAGAGCCCCAAGGGCUCAAGUAAUCAUUUCAAGUCGUACAGGAAGUAUAUAGCAGAGCUCUCAAUCUAAGCCAGCUCACCUGACCAACCAUCCUUGUGUUUGUUGUCCUUUUCAUCAUAUUCUGUCAGGUGUGGAAUGUGUAUGUCAACAGCUAUGCAUUCCUUAUGCACUGCUUUAACAGUCAAGUUCUCUUGCAAAGUAACUUAAAACACACAGGGAAUGUGAAUUGUGAAUCUCUCUUGUCCAUAAAGAACACGACACGAUGCAAAAGGGCCAGCAUAAACAACAUAAGUUGGAUUUUAAUAAGUUAAAAACAAAAUGUACAGGAAGACCUGUUGUUGUUAUGACCUCUCUAUUUUUUCUCUUUUUAAUUCUUUUCCCUUUUCUUUGCAUGGUGUUCUAGAUCUUUCUGUGGUACAGAGAGGAACUGCUUGUAUAGAACAAUUAAUGCUUUUGCUUUUGUAAUCUUGCUGAAUGUCUAUUUGAUUUCUUUAGCAAAUGUCAGGUCACAUGUUGGCUGAUUGCGUUCUGAAACUGAAGUAUAAAUCAUCUUCUCAAGUGACUAACUGUCAUUUUUCUUUGCAAAAUAUUUUUCUAUCUCUACCUUAUGUAACUCUUACAGUUGCUGACAUUUUCCUAAAAGCCCUGUUCAUUUGACACUCAAGAUUUCAGUAUAAAACUAUAGAUGAGAAUAGAUAACUCUUUUGCCUUCGCUUAGUACCUGUUUCCUUUACCAUUAGUUGAAGAAAGGAGUAUUAUGCAUUUCUGAGUCAUACUGUAUAAAGGUACUUUAUUUUAUACAUCAUUAGAAUUUUAAAAGAAGAAGGAAAAGCUGUACCAUAGGUGAAAGCAAGAGUUAACAUGCUUGAACUGUAGAAAAUGGCUAUUAAAUUUUGAUGGAUGCUAUCACUGAUAGAUCAAAUAAAUGUUGAUGUAGUGAUGUAGAGGGUAUGGAUAAAAAGAUGAGUGCUACAGAAAUGGUUGUUAGUAUUAAUGGAAAACAUAUAUAAUCCUCAGCCAAAGACAUGGAUCUACCCAGAAGAAAAGAACAGAGUAUGGACUUCUUAUAUGCCUUGAGUUCUGUCUAUAAGAGUGCAGCCCUAUAUAGCUGUGUCUUGUCACAGAUUAAGAUUGCAUAUACUUGGCCAUGCCUUAUGUUUUAUUGUGCCCGAUUCCUGCUGGCUUAGAGAUGAUAUUCUAGUAUUAAUAAUCUGCUUUACGUAUUUAUAUGUUGGUAGAAAGCUGUUAAUGAGUAUUCCUAACAGAUCUUUUUAAUCAAGCAUAAAAUGUAAGAAUUUCCUAGGAAAAAAUGGCUGCAUAACAUGGAAACAGUUGGUAUUAAAUUCCUGUUGGUGUGGCCUUUGACUCGCAGCUUCUGCUGAGUCCAGCUGAGAGAUAAAUGAGAUAAUUUUGCUGGUGUUUCAGGUCAGCACUUAUGCCAAUCUCACCAUCAUGGACAGUGAAUUCAAAUGUUUCUGAACAGCUCUGGAAAAACACAUUCAAGAAAAACUGUGUUCCAUCUGACAGAAUGCUACUUUUAAGCACUUAGGGUGAUCUGGAAUGCCAGGACUUUGGUCCUGAGAAUUGGUCCGCUAUUCCUAAAGCAUCCAAGCUCAAAUCUUUUAGUUAAAAGUCUCUAGAUUGUUUAAAAUUUAUGGGUAGAUGCAGGGAAUUUUAAGACUCCUGAAGGAGUCUGUAGGGGUAGGUUUAAAAUGUCCAUAUAAAUACAGUCUUAAUCUCUAAAAAAACAAUCUGAAUUGAUUGAGUACUGAUGUAAAUGUAAUGUAAAAGAGGAUUGCUGUGCUUAGAAAGGGAAGUCAGAUCUUUAUCUAAAUAUCUCUGCUUUAUAAUAAGAUACAGUAUGAUAACAUGCGCAGUGAACAGUUGAAAUCAGCACAGACACAUCUGAGAAGGGACACUUUAGUCACGUAAAGAAAGGUGUGAAAAGUACCUUCCUCGAAAGCCAGACUCCCUGCAGUUUAGAGCAGCCUAUUUUAUUGACAUGUGUGACAUCUGAUCAUGUUUUGGGGGUUUGUAGAAUUACUGUACCCUUCUUAUCAAAGGCAGAUGGGGACCCAAUCCUACAAGAAACAGAUUCCAUCUAUCCAUUUACAUACCAGUCUGACCUUACCACUGAAGAUUCUUAAAGCUAGUUCAUGGACAUCAUAAAUUUGUACUCCUCAGUUCAUAAAGGUAGGGACAUAAUAUUUUACAGGUGUGGAAGUGAAACAUAGAUGUGAAUAUUUUAAGACAUAUAGCCUUGACAAUGAUACUUAAAAUCAUUCAUCAUGGAUGAGCUCAGGGAAAUAAGCAGGAUUGUAGUUUGUUUGCCUUUGAAAGUCUGACUAGUUACUAUAGCACCUGAAGAAACCAAGUGAACUGAACUUAUUUUUCUGAGAAUACUUGUACAAGAGGACAAAGAAAAUCUUGAAAAUCUGUUGUACGCUCGUGAAAUGAAUCCAACUCUCUGAAAUUUCUGAAUAUCUGAAGAACUUUUCUGUGUUCCACCUUACUCUUCUCUGAUUUGAAAACAUCUUUUUUGAGUUCUUGGAAAACUGUGCAUUUCUACUGUGUGCUGUUCUCAUUAAAUCUAUCUUUCUCUUGCUACAAGCUCUGAUGGAGGGGGACUUCCAACAGUACUCUCUCAUAGGUCCCCCACUGUAUAUUAGACAACACUGGGUCAUGAACACUAAAGUCUCCAAAGGCCUACUGGAUGAUCCCCUUUUAAGAUCUCUGGUGGUACAAGUUGUCCCAGAUUAGAAGCUAUUUGCAGGCUUCGGGAAUGUGUAAGAGUAAGUCUCCCCAGUUACAUAUCUCAGGAGAUCUGCAAAGAAAAAGAGGAUGAUUAAAGUUUAUGGCUUGCAAAAGAAGGAAAUCAAGGGGAUUAUUUCUCGGUGUUCUUUUUAUGAGAUUUUUUUUUUUAAAGGAAAAAUAUUUUGACUGACAGGCCUUUGAACAUGCUGUGAGUUCUGUAUUUGCAGUAAGGCCUGGAGGAACAAGCUUUUAUUUUCUACUAGAAGACUGCAGUCUUUAGCACUCUCAGUAUUAAGAUCAUUGCAGGCAGGCAUCCCUACUGAUAUUACUAAAAGGAACUUUAAUCAAUCUUGAAAAAAGACUUCAAUAACCUGAAUUAUGGCCACUAGUGCUAGACCUUUGAUAGGAGAAUGGGUCUAGCAGUAUUGAUUUUCUCACUCUUAGCAUUUCUUCUGAUAUUUUUGCCACCUACUAGUAAUGUGUAUUUUAAUAAAACUUUAUGAACUGCCUUUUCCCAGCAAUCUUUCUGUUUUUAAGUGGAAAAUUUUUUACAUCAUUUGCAUGCUUUUUUUUCAUUUUGAAACAAAUACAAUUUUUGUGGAAGACUGCGGAUUCCAAAACCAAUCUAAAAAUAGCAACUUCCCUCUCUAAUUAUGACACAGCCCUUUGUCAGUACUACCAGAUGGGGAAGAUGAGCCAGAAAAUAGUAUGAAUAGUCACCAGUUGUCUUCUUUCAUUUCUCUUUUUCUGUGAGAAAGCAAGAUCUUUUGCAUUUUCUUGACAUUUUAAGUGCUAGACUUUAUGUUUAGAAAAACUUAGAGCUGGUUUUGACAAAACAGCCUCGAGAGGUUUAGAGAAUUCAGAGCCUUCCAGGGACAUCAGCAGAAUUGAGAGAACUGAUAGAAAGGACCUAUGGGCUAGGAAAUCUGAUGGGGUGCACACAAGAGUGGUUUACUAUUUACAUGUAAAGAAAAAUAGGGAAAAAAAAAAAGCUGAAACUACUAAUCUUGAUAAUAUUUUUCUAGAUUACAGCAAAGCUCAUAGGUGUUAUCUUGCAUAUGGCCUGUGGCCUUUUGACCUUCUGAAAGAUGGCCUUGUGGUUUCAUAGGUUAGCUCUCCAUGAUUAAGUUGUUACUGAGGAGACCGCUAACACUUCUCCACAGCACUGUUGCUGUACCUUUAUAAAGACUGCUAAAUGAUGUGGUACGUACCACAGAGACCACUGUCCAGAGGAAAGUGCUGUCAGAGAGUGAGAGAGGGUUAACCACAAAAUAUUUACAAUUUUAGCGUGCACUGAAAAAAAAUAUAUAGCUGAAAACAGUAUUUUCCUUUUGCUCUCUUUGUGCAUUGUGGUUUUAGAUUGGCUGCAAAAAUGUUUCUGUAUAGUGUGGAUUGUCUACAGCAGAUGGCAAACAAUGAUUAACCAUUUCCUUCCAACUGCUCUUUAAUGGGCAGAAACCAAGGUGAACCAGUUACUCGUAUUAAAAUAAGCUGAAAAAAAUCAUGUAGUUAUGAGUGUAAAUGUUCUCAUCUAAUAUAAACUUUCCAAGAAUAGUGCAGUUGGGGCUGGAUGUCUUCUUUCAAGCUUAUUUCCAGUGGCAGAGGAUGUAAAGAACUAAAUGAUAGUAAAGUAUAAUUAUAGUUUUUAAUUUACUUUUAAAUUAUUCCAUUUUUAAGUGAAAUACUGAUUUACACAAGUGCUGGACCUCUGAACUACUUGGAUUUGCUACUGUAUCUUAACCAAAAGUUAGGGGUACCCCCUGGGCUGAGGUAUGAUGGGAUAAUAACAACGGAAAGAGAAAGCUGGUGCUGUGAAUGGCCCUCUGAGAAAAUUGAUUAUGCUAUGAGCAGUGGAAGAUCCCAUCGGUUGCUCUGAAAUGUGACCUACCUACUUUGAGGUGAGAUCUGUUUUGUUGUCAAGCAUGGCUUUAGUUUUUCUGUGUGUAUCAUGGAUUCUUGUCUUUAAUUUGCAGUUAACAACAAAAAAAAAGUUUUCCUUAGUGAAGAAAAGGCUCCGGGGAGACCUCAUAGUGGCCUUCCAAUACUCGAAGGGAGUACCCCUGUUUACAGGAAUAGAUAGUGAUAGGACAAGGGGGAAUGGUCUUAAACUGAGACAGGGGAGGUUUAGGUUGGAUAUUAGGAGGAAGUGUUUCACACAGAGGGUGGUGAUGCACUGGAACAGGUUGCUCAAGGAGGUUGUGGAUGCCCCAUCCCUGGAAGCAUUCAAGCCCGGGCUGGAUGUGGCUCUGGGCAGCCUGGUCUGGUGGCUGGCGACCCUGCAUAUAGCAGGGGGGGGUGAAACUAGAUGGUCUUUGAGGUCCUUUUCAACCUAGAUUCAAUGAUUCUAAGUUAGCUUAUUAAGUUGGAGUAUUUGUUUGAAAUUUUAUUUAUUUAUAUUACAGGUAUGGACUGAUAUCAUAGUUUUUGUCACUUAUUUGGAUUUUCCCUGAGUGCGAUGUGUUGCAGUCCAUCAGACCAGGUGGUGGGGAGUGAGAGCACCCUCAACCUCUAGUGUUGGUGUGAGGUUACAGUACACUAGUGGCAAUUUUGCUAGUCAUAUUAACCAACGUCUGUGUAGUACAGUAGAGUACAUUUAGUUUAGCCAUUGAUUCAGUUGUGAGGUACUGUCCUUUAGAAGUAGCAUGUUGCUUAAGUAAGCCGUAACACUUUCUGACAGUCACCAAAUUCUUGGUUCAGUCUUAUAGAUUUACCCAUGCAGAACUUGGGAAAGUCAGUAAGAGCAACUGAGCUGUUCCACACUAGGAUAAGAGAGGAAUACCUAGAAGGCAAUGCAGAACAAAUCCCUCUAAUUCAGCAUUUAUUCUCUAAGUCACUGUGAUGCCUUUCUUGAAGUGACAAAACUGGUUUGUUAAGAUGCAGUCGUGUCAGAGCUGGAAGUACAAAAGUGCAUUUAUUAAAAAUGAAUUCUCUAUCCUCUUCCCUCUUGUGUAUCUUGUCACUGACAUGACUCCACACACUGCAAAUCUGUGAAACUUUUAAAACGUGAAACUAGAGCUCAUUAAGCAAAAUGUCAACUGGUGUAUAGCAAACUCUUUCAGAAUGAAGACUGAUAAUAUUUGUCUCCAGAGUUUUUUGUCUUCUAGGUCAUCACCAAGCCAUCCAGCUUUCUGGGAAUAUAGUUUGUGGUUUCUGUGAUCGGAGUCUGACUGUCCUUUGGGGUGAGGUAGUAGGUUGUAUAGUUUUAGGGUUAUGCCCUGCCUGUCAGAUAACUAUACAAUCUACUGUCUUUCCUGAAGUGG
rnacentral:lncRNA from 1 species